GCUAGGUGCAAUGGCACACGCCUGUAAUCCCAGCAACUUGGGAGGCUGGGGCAGGAGGAUUGCAACUUAGAGGCCAGCCUCAGCAAUUUACCAAGGCCCUAAGUAACUCAGUGAGACCUUGUCUCUA
rnacentral:sRNA from 1 species